GAAGAUGAUAAAAGGACACAAACUGAAGCCCCACGUGUGUGCACACAGGAACUGGACCUCUAGACUGGCUGGACCAGUGCUGGACCCAGGACUGGUGAAAUCUUUCUCUUUUCUUUUUCUCUCUCUCUGUCUCACUCUCUUUUUGUCCCCACAUUC